CAUCGCUUACGGUGGGUCUGCGCCGGGUACGGGCGGGCUGGAGUGCGGUAGGGGAGACUGGAAUUCCCGGUGUAACGGUGGAAUGUGUAGAUAUCGGGAAGAACACCAAUGGCGAAGGCAGGUCUCUGGGCCGUCACUGACGCUGAGGAGCGAAAGCGUGGGGAGCGAACAGGAUUAGAUACCCUGGUAGUCCACGCCGUAAACGGUGGAUGCUGGAUGUGGGGCCCGUUCCACGGGUUCCGUGUCGGAGCUAACGCGUUAAGCAUCCCGCCUGGGGAGUACGGCCGCAAGGCUAAAACUCAAAGAAAUUGACGGGGGCCCGCACAAGCGGCGGAGCAUGCGGAUUAAUUCGAUGCAACGCGAAGAACCUUACCUGGGCUUGACAUGUUCCCGACAGCCGUAGAGAUAUGGCCUCCCUUCGGGGCGGGUUCACAGGUGGUGCAUGGUCGUCGUCAGCUCGUGUCGUGAGAUGUUGGGUUAAGUCCCGCAACGAGCGCAACCCUCGCCCUGUGUUGCCAGCACGUCAUGGUGGGAACUCACGGGGGACCGCCGGGGUCAACUCGGAGGAAGGUGGGGAUGACGUCAGAUCAUCAUGCCCCUUACGUCCAGGGCUUCACGCAUGCUACAAUGGCCGGUACAGCGGGAUGCGACAUGGCGACAUGGAGCGGAUCCCUGAAAACCGGUCUCAGUUCGGAUUGGAGUCUGCAACCCGACUCCAUGAAGGCGGAGUCGCUAGUAAUCGCGGAUCAGCAACGCCGCGGUGAAUGCGUUCCCGGGCCUUGUACACACCGCCCCGUCAGUCAUGAAAGUGGG
rnacentral:rRNA from 1 species